GUAGGGAAUAUUGGACAAUGGGGGGAACCCUGAUCCAGCCAUGCAGCGUGGAGGAAGACUGCCCUCUGGGUUGUAAACUCCUUUUAUAUGGGAAGAACCGUCCUCAUUAAUGAGUGACCUGACGGUACCAUAGGAAUAAGCACCGGCUAACUCCGUGCCAGCAGCCGCGGUAAUACGGAGGGUGCAAGCGUUAUCCGGAUUCACUGGGUUUAAAGGGUGCGUAGGCGGAUAAAUAAGUCAGUGGUGAAAUCAACGGGCUCAACCUGUUAACUGCCAUUGAUACUGUGUAUCUAGAAUAUGAGAGAGGUAGGCGGAAUGUUGCAUGUAGCGGUGAAAUGCUUAGAUAUGCUACGGAACACCGAUUGCGAAGGCAGCUUACUAUUUCGUAAUUGACGCUGAGGCACGAAAGCGUGGGUAGCGAACAGGAUUAGAUACCCGGGUAGUCC
rnacentral:rRNA from 1 species